GCAAGUUUUAAUGUCGAUGCUUUGUUUCGGAAUAUUGUGGACAACCAUGGACAAAAUCCCUGAUAAAUGUGCCGCGGAUCCGAGAGGACGUCAUUUUGAGGCAACUGUCGGGGGGGGGGGCACCGUGUCAAAAAAGACAAUCGCCGAAAAAAGGACAUUGAAGUCGGCGAGAUCAUGCCCAGCAGAGUAAGUUUGUUAUUCUUGUUCUUGUCUUAUUUUCAUCAAUCUUUUGACUCAAGCAUCAGAAUGGAAGUUUAAAUGCCAAAUCUAGCUGAACUUUAGGCUGAUUUGGUUAUUGUUACAUCGUCGAUUAACCUCUAUAGCCUAGCGCCGGGUGUUCAUUCGAGCCAUUACUAUUCACAGAGUCAUGUAAACAAAGCCAUUGGAUUAGCGUCAAUCUCUCACAUAAAUGUUCAUAGCAUCCUUAUUUCUUAUCCUAUUUGUGUAAACUACAGCUUAAAUAAAAGCUGAGAAAAUUGUUGAUGUUGUGAUAUGUAAAAAUAAGUAUUGUCCCAAGAGAUACACAUAAGCUUUAUAGGAAUUUUUUAUUAUAGGUUUUACUAACGUGUUUGCUACAGCUCAGACUGUAUUUGAUGGAAAAUUUGAUGUGUAUAAAAAUUAUAUUAGUUAAAAGCAAUAUUUCUUACCUGGCUUUUUUUUUUUAAAUAAUGACAAAUUCAGUAUGGCUGUAAUGAAUUUGGUGUAGUGAAUUUUCUUGCAGACAAGGGGGUGGCUGCAAUCAUGUGCCCGCACUACUGUUUGAGUUGGAGCAAUAUCAAGCUUGUGGUGGAACUACAAAGUAAGCCAACCUGCACCCAGUCGCCUUGUUCAUAGAGGGGACGAGCCCAAAAACGAACUGCCUAAUAAACUACUUGUGAAGAGCAGCAAAUGUUAAAGUGUCAUUUAAGGCAUGAGAUCGGCGUGGAGAAGGUCUCCUGGAAAACGUUGAACAGCCUGGCUUUUGACCCACGACAUCCUGACGACUGGAAUGAAAACACCACUGCUGAUAUUGGACAUUUGGAGUGUGGAAACUUCUUUGCCAUUUUGCAGGUAUGCCGUGCCUCUGGUUGCUGUGCCAGAUCUUGACCCUCAACCAGAUGAUGCAGCUGAUGACUUAGGCCCGAGUCCAGUCUCCAUUGACACCAUCAGAGAGGCCUGCAAGAAGUUCAAGCAUCUUUAAAGGUCACACAUAAACAGAAGCUGGUCUGACUGAAGCACAAACACGCAAGCAGAGCUCAAGUGAAGAAUGGUUUCAAGAAUGUUUCUUGAAAAAAUGUGAAGUUCUGCUGCUGUUUCUUCACACUGUUACGUUUUUUUCUUUAGGAAAAUGUUUUUGGUAAAAUUAAAAGCUGCCUUCUCAAAA